CCGGGGUCGGCCCGGUGGUGCACACGUUCGGCUUCAGCGGCCCGGGGUUCGCCGGUUUGGAUCCCAGGUGCAGACAUGGCACCGCUUGGCAAGCCAUGCUGUGGUGGCCCACAUUUCCUCCCCAUCUAAAUAAAGGGAUUUACAAGGACUUCCUCGGGGAGGCUGUCAGCAUCCAGAAAAGCUGAGCUGAGGGCUUGUGACAACUGCCCCAACAUGCUGUUAUACAGGCUGUGGACAGUACACCAUGUCUCCCCGGUAACAUUCAGAGGAUGGAACGAUGGCUCUAGAACUGGAUUCUGAUCUUGGACAAAGUAUACUGCUCUGGACCUCAGAAGUCAUUCUGCUUCUACAAGUCCAACUUGUCAAAGUCCUUCUCUGAGAAACCGUCCAGACUUCCCCGGUCAGAAUCAACGUCUCCUUCCUCUUGUGGACACCCCUAACACUUUGUUUCUUCCUCCCGUGCAGCAAUUACACAGUGUGCCUUGUGGUCUAGAUGGUUCCACAGGCUUUGAAAUCAACGAACCAAGUUCAAAUACAAUAUUGACCUUUGGCAAACGAGUCAGCAUCUCGAAGCCUCAGUUUCCUUCCUUGUGGGAUAGAGCGCCCAUUUUACAGCUGGGAGAAUUCAGCGAGAUCAUGUGUAACUAGCACCUCACACAGCUCCUGUUGGAUGGGUGUUACUACUGUAUUAAGGAUCUUGUAGGGCAUGGAAAUCAAGAUUCCGCACACGUUUGCACGUGGUACAGCUGAGGAUUGAAGCCUGGGAUGGAUAUGUACCAACCGUAGAACCUGCCAUGCUGCAGCUCCGGUAACUAGUUCAGAGCCUGUACAUCCUGGGAAUCAAGAAACAUGUCUGAGGAAAGGAAGGAGGAAAAGAAGGAAGAAUGGAAGGAAAGCUGAAUGGUAAUAAAGAAAAUUUAGACAAUGAACUUCUCUCAAAUGAGAGAGAAGAGUCUGAAUCUGCUCUCAGUGGAACCUAUCAUUUCUGACCUCGGAGAGGUAAUAAGAGGCUUCAAGUGCUUUGUUCUUUAAGUAACUGGCCACUGUGUACAUUGUUUGGUCAUGGGUUGUGGAAAAAUCCCCCCGAGUCAGCUCCAAGGAACAAAACGUGGUUGCUUAGACUGUUCAAACCUUCAAAACUAGUCUUCUCAAAAGGCUUGGGCCUAAAGAACACUUGUGUGACCUACAUGUUGUUUGCCAUUGUCACUGACAGAGAACAAAGGAAAGGGAAGAACCCUUUGAUUGGUCUGCAUCUCAAUAACCUGAAAUGUCUGCCCCACUGCUCAUUUUAAAAGGAGCAAGAGUAGAUCUACGUGGUGUUCCAGGUUA
rnacentral:lncRNA from 1 species